CAAAAUUGCCCUAAGGAAGGUUAGCUUGAUUAGUGGAACAUCAAGACCAUCAAAAAAGAGAGACAAUUAUUAACAUCUAUGGAGUGAAGAACAAGAAGCCAUUAAGUGAAUUGACUCCCUCAGCUGCCUGAACAGUAAUGGAACAGCUGCUGCACUGUGGAGAAGGAAUCAAAGCAAGGUGCUCCCAAAGCUGG